rnacentral:lncRNA from 1 species
AGAGAGGCUGUGAGGGUGGCUUUGUGAGGAUGGCUUUGUGUGGCUGCACAUUGCCCUUGGCCAAGCCCCGCUGCCAGGAGAGGCAGCUCGGCUGCCAAACCUCCUGAACCCAAGUUACCUGAGCAAGCAGCCCUAUCCCCUCGCCUGCUUCUCACUGCCUCGCCUGCCUUGGGCCUGCCCGACCCAGGGGGUCACAUGCCUUGUUCCCCAUCAGUGGAGACCAGGGACAAGAAGACAGUUCUGUGGGAAGAGCCAGGAGGACCAUUUGGGAAAAUACAGGUUCCAGGUGUGUCUCCAGACCUUGAGAGUUGGUGUCUCCUGGGAAGAGGCCCUGAUGAGAUCUGGGGAGAUUCGGAUCUGAUGAGAUUCAGGAAGCCCUGGCCUCUCCGUACUUGAGGAGACGGGACACACAGGACAAGCUGCAGGCUGGUGAGCAGGUUCACCUUCUAUUUUGAAGACCCGCUUCUUCCUCAGGUACCUGAUCUUGAAAACGACCUCCCCUUUCAGUUCUGGAGGCCAGAAGCCCAAAAUCAGUCUCGCUGGGCUAACGUGAAGGUGUCAGUCGGGCUGGUUCCUUCUGGAGGCUCCAGAAAAGAAUCUGUUUUCUUGCCUUUUCUGGCUCAGUUUCUCGGCUUGUGGCUCCUUCCUCCAUCUUCAAAGAGCACCACUCCAAUCUGCUCCUCCAUCAGGUCACCUUCUGCCUGACUCCUACAUCCCUUUCAGAAGGACCCUUGUGAUUCCAUGAGGUCCACCCAGAUCACGCAGGAUAAUGUCCCCGUCUCAAGAGGCUUAAUCUAAUCACAGUGAAAACCAUUUCCUCCUCGUCGUGGCGCAGGUCCAGAGGCUGCGCCCAUCUCUCCCACGUCAACAGUCCUGUGUCCUUGGCGAAGGACUGUUCUCUCAUUCAGUGCCUUUCCUCUCUUCCUGGGCCAAAUCCCUGCUUUGCGUCUCCCUGCAGCUCAUAAAAAGCUGAAUUACCUGAGGCAGGGAAAGCCCCACCCACUGUCAUUCUCAGGGAGGAGUGGAGUCUGCAGAGGCCGCAAUGCACAGCUUCCCUAUCCCCCUCCACCCGUGUUUUCCCAGAGCAGCUCUGUUCCAGGCCCGGGGGUGUCCCUGGGCCGAGAUGGAAUCCAGCCCUGACCACCUCCCAAAGCCAACAGCCCUGAGUGAGCGUGCAGAGAAGCAAGAGCUGUUCCUGAUGCAGAGCAAAGACAUCUCCCAGUCAAGGGGGAUGAACUGAUUUGGGACAAAAGGCAGUUGUUGGCUGAGGAAGGCAGGAUCUGGGGGAGCCCUGUGCUGAGUGGAGGUGGGUGGGUGUAUUUCCUUGGCUCACAGAGGCCUCUUGUCUGGUGGGAUCAGCUCCUCCAGCCAGUUGCCACCUGGUCCAGCUUUGGGAGAUGUGGAGAAUGACUUUCGCAGUGAUUUCCACUGGGCCAUGGCAUUGAAACAGCUGCAGGAGGGGACACAGCUGGUGCCACCCCUACUCCGUCCAUUAGAGCUGCUGUGAAGGAAUGCCACCCUCCCCAUGGGGAGUGAGGGGGCCCUACUUGCUGUGGUUGGUUCCAGGGACCAUGGGAAGAGGCAAACCCCUAUUUUCAAGGGCACAAGUUGGCUUUUAUUAAAAUAAAAUUUCAUCAUCACUUA